rnacentral:rRNA from 1 species
UACGUAGGCAGCGAGCGUUGUUCGGAAUUACUGGGCGUAAAGAGUGUGUAGGCGGCCAUACAGGUCAGCUGUGAAAACUCGAGGCUCAACCUCGAGACGUCGGUUGAAACCGUAUGGCUAGAGUCCGGAAGAGGAGAGUGGAAUUCCCGGUGUAGCGGUGAAAUGCGCAGAUAUCGGGAAGAACACCCGUGGCGAAGGCGGCUCUCUGGGACGGUACUGACGCUGAGACGCGAAAGCGUGGGGAGCGAACAGG